rnacentral:rRNA from 1 species
CGUAGGGCGUUUGUUUAGGUAAAUCCGGACGAACAUUAAACCUGAGACACGAGACGAGUCACUACGGUGAUGAAGUUGCUGAUGCCAUACUUCCAGGAAAAGCCUCUAAGCUUCAGAUUAUACCGAAUCGUACCCCAAACCGACACAGGUGGUCAGGUAGAGAAUACUAAGGCGCUUGAGAGAACUCGGGUGAAGGAACUAGGCAAAAUCGUACCGUAACUUCGGGAGAAGGUACGCUCCUAUCUGUGAUGAGACUUGCUCUCUAAGCGGACGGGAGCCGCAGUGACCAGGUGGCUGGGACUGUUUAUUAAAAACACAGCACUGUGCAAAAUCGCAAGAUGACGUAUACGGUGUGACACCUGCCCGGUGCCGGAAGGUUAAUUGAUGGGGUUAUCUUCGGAGAAGCUCUUGAUCGAAGCCCCGGUAAACGGCGGCCGUAACUAUAACGGUCCUAAGGUAGCGAAAUUCCUUGUCGGGUAAGUUCCGACCUGCACGAAUGGUGUAACCAUGGCCACGCUGUCUCCACCCGAGACUCAGUGAAAUUGAAAUCGCAGUGAAGAUGCUGUGUACCCGCGGCUAGACGGAAAGACCCCGUGAACCUUUACUACAGCUUGGCACUGAACAUUGAACCUACAUGUGUAGGAUAGGUGGGAGACUUUGAAGAUGAGACGCUAGUCUUGUUGGAGUCGUCCUUGAAAUACCACCCUUGUAGUUUUGAUGUUCUAACGUUGGCCCCUGAAUCGGGGUUACGGACAGUGCCUGGUGGGUAGUUUGACUGGGGCGGUCUCCUCCCAAAGAGUAACGGAGGAGCACGAAGGUUGGCUAAGUACGGUCGGACAUCGUACGGUUAGUGUAAUGGUAGAAGCCAGCUUAACUGCGAGACAGACACGUCGAGCAGGUACGAAAGUAGGUCAUAGUGAUCCGGUGGUUCUGAAUGGAAGGGCCAUCGCUCAACGGAUAAAAGGUACUCCGGGGAUAACAGGCUGAUACCGCCCAAGAGUUCAUAUCGACGGCGGUGUUUGGCACCUCGAUGUCGGCUCAUCACAUCCUGGGGCUGAAGUCGGUCCCAAGGGUAUGGCUGUUCGCCAUUUAAAGUGGUACGCGAGCUGGGUUUAGAACGUCGUGAGACAGUUCGGUCCCUAUCUGCCGUGGGCGUUUGAGAAUUGAGAGGGGUUGCUCCUAGUACGAGAGGACCGGAGUGAACGAACCGCUGGUGUUCGGGUUGUCAUGCCAAUGGCAUUGCCCGGUAGCUACGUUCGGAACUGAUAAGCGCUGAAAGCAUCUAAGCGCGAAGCAGGCCUCGAGAUGAGUUCUCACUAGACUUUUAAAGUCUCUGAAGGGCCGUUGAAGACUACAACGUUGAUAGGCAAGAUGUGGAAGUGGUGUGAGCCAUUAAGCUAACUUGUACUAAUUACCCGUGAGGCUUAACCAUACAACGCCAAACGCGUUU